AUAAAUGCCGAUUCCGAACACCGGCCGCGCCCGCCUGGCGGCUGCUCGCUACGUUUUGUUAGCC
rnacentral:sRNA from 1 species